rnacentral:tRNA from 1 species
GCCCGGCUGGCUCAGUUGGUAGAGUAUGCAACUCUUGAUCGUGGAGUUGUGAGUUCAAUCCCCACUUUGGGUG